rnacentral:rRNA from 1 species
AUACGGAGGGUGCAAGCGUUACUCGGAAUCACUGGGCGUAAAGCGCGCGCAGGCAGCUAUUUAAGUUGGAUGUGAAAGCCUACGGCUCAACCGUAGAACUGCAUCCAAAACUAUUUAGCUAGAGUGUGGGAGAGGAAGAUGGAAUUAGUUGUGUAGGGGUAAAAUCCGUAGAGAUAACUAGGAAUACCAAAAGCGAAGGCAAUCUUCUGGAACACUACUGACGCUGAGGCGCGAAAGCGUGGGGAGCAAACGGGAUUAGAUACCCUAGUAGUCC